rnacentral:tRNA from 2 species
GGAGAAUUAGCUCAGCUGGGAGAGCACCUGCCUUACAAGCAGAGGGUCGGCGGUUCGAACCCGUCAUUCUCCACCA